rnacentral:tRNA from 1 species
UGGAUGCGAAUAAAGAUAGAGUCCUGUUUUACAUGUCAAUAUCGACAACAAUGAAAUUUAUAGU